rnacentral:rRNA from 1 species
AGUAAAAGUCGUAACAAGGUCUCCGUUGGUGAACCAGCGGAGGGAUCAUUAUCGAGUUUAUUCAACUCCCAAACCCUAUGUGAACUUACCACUUGUUGCUUCGGCGGCGCUCUGGCGUCGCCGGGGGUAUCAAACUCUUGUUUUUACAGCAUUCUCUGAGUGGCCGCAAGGCAAAAAACAAAUGAAUCAAAACUUUCAACAACGGAUCUCUUGGUUCUGGCAUCGAUGAAGAACGCAGCGAAAUGCGAUAAGUAAUGUGAAUUGCAGAAUUCAGUGAAUCAUCGAAUCUUUGAACGCACAUUGCGCCCGCCAGUAUUCUGGCGGGCAUGCCUGUUCGAGCGUCAUUUCAACCCUCGAGCCCGACUCUUUGGAGGACGGCCCGGCGUUGGGGACCGGCAGACUGCCCCGCACCUCCGGGUGUGGGACGCCGCCCCCGAAAUUUAGUGGCGGCCCUCUGAGGCGACCUCUGCGUAGUAACUCACCUCGCACUGGAAACAUUAGAGUGGCCACGCCGUAAAACACCCAACUUUUUUUCAGGUUGACCUCGAAUCAGGUAGGACUACCCGCUGAACUUAAGCAUAUCAAUAAGCGGAGGAAAAGAAACCAACAGGGAUUGCCCCAGUAACG